UAGUCCCCCUCUUAUCAGUUACCAUUACAUGGCAAAAUUAACCACCUUAGUCUCGUACUAACAAUGCUACUUUUGUAUUAUGUUUAUUGCAUUAUCUUAUAUAUUGUUCAUAAUCAUGCAUACUCUUGCUUUUUUUUAAUACUGAUGUUUUCCAUUAAAUGCACUUGUGUCAUUUUAAAAAAUCAAUAGCCGUAUUAUCUUCAGAUCGCCUCAUGUAUUGUGGCACUGUAAGAAACGAGGUGUUGGAAAUAAAAUGUUAAGCCACCCAAAGCCACUGCAGUUAAUCAUAUUUAACAUCUGACUAAACUAGGCUCACUCAGAGCUUUUGGUAGAGUCCUGCUUAAGCCAUUCUGUUGUAUUAUGUGAGAGGCCAUUAAUAGCUGCAUUUGCUAUUAAAACUGGAUGUAGUUCUAAGAAGCCAAAGGCCCUGUUCAAGUUUAGGAAUAUUUUGUAUCUUUCAUUUCUCUGGUACAAAAGGUCUUGGAAUGGCUUACCAUUUGUUUUUCUGUGACCUACAGAUAGACUACUGAUCAUAAAUCUAUUUGCUUUUAAUUAGUAUAUCAUCAUGAAAAGCAUAUGAGAGGAGACUGGAGAGAGUACAUCCUGCUGGUCAACCUCCCUAGUGCUGAGUUGCUUUUUAUUUACUCUCUUGAACCUGUAAUGAAAAUGCACAUACUCUACUGCAAUUAAAGUCUUAACUUUCGUCAUCACUAUUCUUAUUUCCACCACAAAACUGAUGUGAAAACUCAGCUUUUGUGUUGCCUGAAUAACAUAAUUCCCCCAACAACUCACACUUGAAGUGGAACAAAAACCCCAACUCUGAAGAGCAAGAAGAGAGCAGAGUAUUAAGGCAGGGCAGGCACCAGUGUGGAGAGCCAGGUUUUUUAUGAAACACAGUGGGAUUAGAGACAGAUUUCCAGAGUCGAGUACAUCAAUGAAAGGGGACAGAAGCUUAAGGAUGUCCUACUGCAUAUUACUUUAAAAGAUAAAUAUGAUGAAAUUUUCCCUGUGGAAGGCUCAUUAUAAAUCCAUCACAAUCAGAUGUCUCUGCAGAAACAACCAGCAUAAAGAGACAGCCUGGCUUUCCUCAAUCAAGUCAAAAAGGAAUGAAUAUGCUUCACCUCUGAGACACUCUAAAUGAAUACAAAAAUAACAUAAUUUUAAACUGAACUCUGGAUAUACCUAUGUACUCUUGAGAGAAAUACGGGUUUCAGUGUUGUCUCCCUGAGAAUUCUUUUAGCUUUGACUACACGCCUUGUAAAUAGGUUCACAUAAAAAAGGAUGCAUCUUUGCUUACUCUGUGUAAACAAAACUAGUCCAUGUGGUUGACAACAGUUUCGCUUAUAUGUGUGUAAGAUUUCUAUUGACUGACAGCUUUGUUUCCAAGUGCCACAGAAAGACUGGGAAAGCUGUCCGUUUGUCUUGUUUAGUAAGGCAAUCUUAGAGACUUUUAGGAUCAGAAAUAGUUUUCUUGCUUUGUAUUGGUGACUGUAAAUCAAUAUUGAUACAAAAUACAACUACUGCCAUAGUGAAAAAUAAGGAAAGUGUAAGCAAGCCUUUUCAUUUUCAGGAACACAACCACAAAACAUCUCAAGCAGCAGUUUCCAUGUACUUUUUAAUUAUCCAAAUGCAGGGAUUGACACCAGUUUUUAGAACACUGAAAAAAUAACAUCAAUAAGAAAAAAAGCAGGAUUACCCAACUGUCUUUCUUUAGUCCCUCUUCAAAGAUCAACUGUAACUAGUUUAGAUUAGGUUGAAUAAUAUCAUAUAUUUAGUAAAUUAGGUACACAUAAAUACUGAAGGUAACUACAACUGAGCUAAAGGUAUUUAUAAGUAAUCUUCAUAGAUAAAGACAAAACAUUUAUGUUGUAAUUGUAAAUUAAAUUCAUUAUUACAUUCAGUGCAUUAUACUCAUUAAUCAGAUGCAUAUUAAAAAGUAUGUAAGCAUGACAGUCAUUGCCUAACAAAGAGGAAUUGACAUUAAUAACAGAAGAGGGCUUCGAUAGAUAUACAACAAUUUGGUUAGUUAAAAAUUGGUUCAGGCAAAGACGGUAACAGUUUCUACUCCAGAAGUAAACAAUAUUCUCAAUUUCAAAAGGACAAGCUUUUAAAAACCAGAGAACUUACCUGUGAAGUAAGGGACCAAGGAAUUCAAAUAUUAAGGAUAAUAUAAUUAAGUGAAAA